UACGAAGGGGGCUAGCGUUGCUCGGAAUUACUGGGCGUAAAGGGCGCGUAGGCGGAUAGUUUAGUCAGAGGUGAAAGCCCAGGGCUCAACCUUGGAACUGCCUUUGAUACUGGCUAUCUUGAGUUCGGGGAGAGGUGAGUGGAAUGCCGAGUGUAGAGGUGAAAUUCGUAGAUAUUCGGCGGAACACCAGUGGCGAAGGCGACUCACUGGCCCGAUACUGACGCUGAGGCGCGAAAGCGUGGGGAGCAAACAGG
rnacentral:rRNA from 1 species